CUAGUAUGCAACUGGCUAAACAGUGGAGAAAGCUUGGUUGUUACUGUGCCCCAUCUCUCCUCUAGAUCUUCAGAGAAUGAUCUUUGCAGGAAAUCUCUGUUACCUGAAGAUGAAAAGGAAUGUGAACCAACUCUGAUCCCAAUUCAGACCUUCGCCAACUGACAGUUCAGGUGAAGGCCCUCUGGGGUGACCAGAAAGCAAAGAAAAGAUGAGUAUAUUAUUGCUGAACAGUUCUCUUUCCCUUGGGAUGAAAGAAAAAAUAAAGAAGAGACCUAAGCCUUGAAAUACAUUGCCAGCACUACAGGAAAGAGAAGCCUGGAAGUACAUUAUGGGAAAAGAAGUAGAUAGGUCUUCAGUGUAAAAUCUGAAGGGGUCAUAAUGUUUAGCAAGAUCACCUGGCAGCAAUGUAGAGAAUGGACUGGAGAGAUGCUAGACCAGAAGCCAGGGGACCAACCUGGAAUGAUGCAGCAAACUCCUGCCUACUCCUUUCUCUCCAAGAAUAUGCUGUGGGGAAGAAAAGAUGAAGAUGCGGGAAGAUGGGAGAAAAGAAUCCUAACAUAAGAUAUAGAAGAUACACAACGGGCUAACAUCAUAAUCCAGCUAGUAAUAAAACUCUUGGCCAGAUAAGAAAACUGAGGAAGAACAAUUAAGAAACUUGGUCAAGAUCACUCAGUAAAUAAGUGCAAAGACUACCACUGGGCUUAGAAGGUUGCAACAUGAGUCAAGUACUCUAAAAUUUAGAUAGGAGAACGAAGGUCAUCCUCAGAAGUACUUUUUAGCACAGGAAGAAUAAUGAUUAUGAAUAUGGAUAUAUGGCAAGAGUUUCUUGAAGCCAGAUGUAGGGAACAGUCUAAUGGGCCUGGAACAGAAGCAACAACUGCUAGUACUCCUAAGCCUCUUUAAAACAGUAUUAUCCAUCUGUACCCGAGAGAAAAUAGUAAAUCACAGCCAGCACAGGAUGAGCCAAGCUAGUAACCAGCUGGAACCUGACUCUGCUGAAGUGGACUAUAGCAUCUGCCACCUAAACACAGGCAGCCUCUCUGGCAGCUGCCACUGGUAAAAGGGAAUGAGCCACUGUAUUAUUAGUGGAAGAAACUCACAGACCUGUUACUGGAGAAGCCCAGAUGUUGCUAAGAGCUACAGAUGUGCCAGAGACAAAGACCAAAAUACCGACAGCAAAGAAAGCAUGAGCUACCACUGGAAUACAGGCACUAAGAGGGCACCACCACCCAAACAUACACAUCCAGUCUUUAUUUAUUAACACUUACAUAUGGAAAUAGGUAUUCCCUGCUGCAGCUGAUCUAAUUACAGAGAAAUCAAUUUAUACUGCAUCUGCUGGGAUCAGCUGAAAGCACAGGAUGAGCAGAGCACAGAGCAGAAAAUCAAGAGCCAAUGAACAGCUCACCACAAGGCCACUGUUUUGCAGGAAUAAGCUGCUGAAGUUUAAUGCUGCCUGAGCUGACCCUAGACUCACACCUAUUCUCCUCCAGCCCUGCAAGUUCCAUUUCCUAAAGCAUGAACUAAGAUCAUCUUCCCAGAGGAGGGACUCAGUUCUAACCCCUCCUGGGGCUGCAGGCACCUGUCCUUCCAAGUCAAGCAGAAGGCAAGGUAUCAUUACACUGUUGGCAGCUAUUAAACCACGAGGAGACUUUGAUUCCUAAUAGUUGUGGGAGAUACCUGGCAUGAAGCUACACCUUUAAUGGCCAAACAAUCUCUUCCUAGGCCAAACUGUCAUAACCACAACAAUAACUCAUAAGAUCUAAGUACCUCAAAGUACAAUGAGUACCUCUUGCCCCCAAAAUGUGCCCCUUUGCUCUUUGGUAGCCGGCAAUAGAACACUUCAUAGAUAUGCCAUGAAAUUUAACCCUUUGUUCUACCAGAGACCCAACAGCACCAUUUAUCCCAUCAAGAACCGUACUCAAUCUACAUUAUCACCAAAGGCGUAUUGUUUAUCAACUAUUAUGAGUCUGAUGAUGAAAUGCCAGUCAAGCUGGGAACCAAAUAAAGGUCUGAUGCCAAUCUCUACCAACAAGUGUCUGAGGUGGGCAAAGACAAGGUGGGAAGGUCUCAACUCAGACUACAGAAAGUUCAUUCUACAAAGUAG